rnacentral:rRNA from 1 species
UGGGGAUAUUGCACAAUGGGGGAAACCCGUAGAUGCAGCGACGCCGCGUGGAGGAAGAAGGUUUUCGGAUUGUAAACUCCCGUCGUUAGGGACGAUAAUGACGGUACCUAACAAGAAAGCACCGGCUAACUACGUGCCAGCAGCCGCAGUAAAACGUAGGGUGCAAGCGUUGUCCGGAAUUACUGGGUGUAAAGGGAGCGCAGGCGGACCGGCAAGUUGGAAGUGAAAACCAUGGGCUCAACCCAUGAAUUGCUUUCAAAACUGCUGGCCUUGAGUAGUGCAGAGGUAGGCGGAAUUCCCGGUGUAGCGGUGGAAUGCGUAGAUAUCUGGAAGAACACCAAAGGCGAAGGCAGUCUCCUGGGCAAAUACUGACGCUCAUAUGCGAAAGCGUGGGUAGCAAACAGGAUUAGAUACCC